UACGAAGGGGGCUAGCGUUGCUCGGAAUCACUGGGCGUAAAGGGCGCGUAGGCGGCCAUUCAAGUCGGGGGUGAAAGCCUGUGGCUCAACCACAGAAUUGCCUUCGAUACUGUUUGGCUUGAGUUUGGUAGAGGUUGGUGGAACUGCGAGUGUAGAGGUGAAAUUCGUAGAUAUUCGCAAGAACACCAGUGGCGAAGGCGGCUCACUGGACCGGUAUUGACGCUGAGGUGCGAAAGCGUGGGGAGCAAACAGG
rnacentral:rRNA from 1 species